UCCGGUGCAAUUUCCUGCAGGGUCACACCCGUUCCCUUCCCGAACACGGAAGUUAAGCCUGUAGGGCCAAUGGUAGUGCAUACGCGCGAGAGUAGGUGUGUGCCGGAA
rnacentral:rRNA from 5 species